UGAAUGUAACUUAGAUAUUGGGUUUCACUAUGUAAAGCGCUUUGAGUCACUUGAGAAAAGCGCUAUAUAAAUAUAAUUCAUUUCACUUCACUUCACUGUAAUGAUACCAAGUACAGGAGCUACUCAGAUACUACUAUGAUUACAUUGAUAUUUUUUAGUAUCACGAAAUCUUUUUUGGUUUUAAAAAAAUGUAUACCAUGUUUAUAAACUCAGGCAAUUUGUCCCCGGACACAUGAGGACUUUGAAUAUGACCAAUGUAUGAUCCUGUAACGACUUGGUAUCGGAUCGAUACCCAAAUUUGUGGUAUCAUCCAAAACUAAAUUAAAGUAUCCAAACAACCGAAGAAUAAAUGAUUAUUCCAUUUUAACAGAAAUGUAGAAAGAACAUGUUAAAAGAGAAAGUAAGCAGAUAUUAACAUUAAAUGAACAAGUAGAUGAAUAAUUAAUUUUCUACCACUUGUCCUUAAUACUUUUGACAAAAUAAUAGAAUGAUAAAUGACACAAUAUGUUACUGCAUGCUUCAGCAGUUAAAUUAGGAGCCUUUCUUUGCUUACUUACUACUAAAAGACAAGUUGUCUUGUAUGUUCACUAUUUCAUUUAAAGACAAAAUUUCAAUAACAGAUGUUUAAUGUAGCCAAUAAUGCAAUUUUUUGUGUGUUCCCCUUUAUUUAGAAAAGUAUCGAAAAGUAGCAAAUUGUAUCAAACUACAUUUUGGUACAGGUACCAGUAAUAUUGGUUCACUAGUGUGUACACUUUUUUUUCUUUGCACUUUGCAAUUGGAUAUUUUAUACAGCAACACUCGAGGUCACAAGUGUGGAACCUAAGGCGCAGGGGCCAGAUGUGGCCCGCCACAUCAUUUUAAAGCCUGGUCUUUUCUUACUAAAUAUAUUCAACUUUCCAUUAUGACAGCAAAAAAAUGUAUGUACUACAAGCAAAUUCAUAUCUUUUGAACUUGAUCUACAUUCCAAACUCUUUUGAUGCAAGCAAAAUAAGUACUUAAAUAUCUGGUUGGCUCAUGAUCUUAAAGCAAAUUAUCCAUUAAAUUGUGCACUGUAAUAAUUUAUUUUUACGGUAAACAAAAACCCUUGUAGCUCAGUAGACAAAAUGUUACUGUAAAUAAAAUAAAAACCUCUGGUAUCAUUUUUUCCAUUUACAGUAACACACCAUGAAAAACAACAACCGUAGUGUCACACCACGGCGAGAGAUGUCUUGUCUUGGUUUUUUCUGUCUUGUGAAUUGCAUGUUUUAGUUUGAAAAGUAACUCUCCUCACGUUUUAGGUCACUUGCCCUUCCUUUUGUGUCAUCAGUCUGACGCCAUCCCUGAUUACUGAUUGUUUCCACCUGUUUCCCAAUACCCUCAUGUGUCUUAUAAGCCCACGCCUCCCUUUGUUCUGUGCCAGAUUGUCUCGUUUGUUCGUGCUCUCUAGCGUCCUGUCCAAGCCUUGCCUCGUCUGUUGUUUGAAUAUCUUGAUCCUGAAUUCCCUUGUUGAUAUUUUGAGUUUUCUUUUUCUCCUCCUCAACAGAGUGAUUUUGGUGAUUUAAUUUUGCAGCCGAAGUGAUUAUUGUGGAGAGGCGGAGCCGACGGGCCCGACAGUGGGAUAGGACCAAUUGUGGUCCUACCCAAGAUGGCGGCCAGGAGGCGGAGUAUCCAGCGGAACGGAGAGGCAGGGGCGCGCCUGUAACGCCGCUGCAGCGAUCAGAACCAGGUGCGUAAUUCACACACCUGCUCUCAAUCUGUGCAUCUCCUCCUGCUGUAUAAAAAGGGGAGAAGGAGGAGCAAUCGGGGCAGAAGAAGUAGGAGAACCACCAAACGAACGAUACGAAGACGGAGUCACCGGCGACCGAAAGGCCCGCCGAGUCGAGCCGGAGAGGAGGAAGCGCUGGAAAUCGGCGCGACCAACUGGGACACAAACUGGUUUAUUGAAAGAAUAAACGAGAGUCAAACCUG